CGGCGAGUGAGCGGGAGAGCUCAAUUUGAAAUCUGGUAGCCUUCGGUUGCCCGAGUUGUAAUCUAGAGAAGUGUUUUCCGUGCCGGCCCAUGUACAAGUCCCUUGGAACAGGGCGUCAUAGAGGGUGAGAAUCCCGUCCUUGACAUGGACCCCCGGUGCUUUGUGAUACACUUUCAACGAGUCGAGUUGUUUGGGAAUGCAGCUCAAAAUGGGUGGUGAAUUCCAUCUAAAGCUAAAUAUUGGCGAGAGACCGAUAGCGAACAAGUACCGUGAGGGAAAGAUGAAAAGCACUUUGGAAAGAGAGUUAAACAGUACGUGAAAUUGUUGAAAGGGAAACGAUUGAAGUCAGUCAUGCUCUUGGGACUUACCUCCCUUGAGUGGGGUCAACAUCAGUUUUGAUCGAUGGAUAAAGGCACGGGGAAGGUAGCACUCUCGGGUGAACUUAUAGCCUCGCGUCAUAUACAUUGAUUGGGACUGAGGAACGCAGCAUGCCUUAUGGCCGGGAUUCGUCCACGUACAUGCUUAGGAUGUUGACAUAAUGGCUUUAAACGACCCGUCUUGAAACCACGGA
rnacentral:rRNA from 1 species